rnacentral:rRNA from 1 species
UAGGGAAUCUUCGGCAAUGGGGGCAACCCUGACCGAGCAACGCCGCGUGAGUGAAGAAGGUUUUCGGAUCGUAAAGCUCUGUUGUAAGAGCAGAACGUGUGUGAGAGUGGAAAGUUCACACAGUGACGGUAACUUACCAGAAAGGGACGGCUAACUACGUGCCAGCAGCCGCGGUAAUACGUAGGUCCCGAGCGUUGUCCGGAUUUAUUGGGCGUAAAGCGAGCGCAGGCGGUUUAAUAAGUCUGAAGUUAAAGGCAGUGGCUUAACCAUUGUUCGCUUUGGAAACUGUUGAACUUGAGUGCAGAAGGGGAGAGUGGAAUUCCAUGUGUAGCAGUGAAAUGCGUAGAUAUAUGGAGGAACACAGGUGGCGAAAGCGGCUCUCUGGUCUGUAACUGACGCUGAGGCUCGAAAGCGUGGGGAGCAAACAGG